GACGAACGCUGGCGGCGUGCUUAACACAUGCAAGUCGAACGGAAAGGCCCUGCUCUUGUUGGGUGCUCGAUUGGCGAACGGGUGAGUAACACGUGUGUAACCUGCCCUUGACUUUGUGAUAACUUCAGGAAACUCGGGCUAAUAUCGGAUAGGAGCUCCUGCUGCAUGGUGGGGGUUGGAAAGUUUCGGCGGUUGGGGAUGGACUCGCGGCUUAUCAGCUUGUUGGUGGGGUAGUGGCUUACCAAGGCUUUGACGGGUAGCCGGCCUGAGAGGGUGACCGGCCACAUUGGGACUGAGAUACGGACCAGACUGCUACGGGCGGCAGUAGUGGGGAAUAUUGCACAAUGGGCGGAAGCCUGAUACAGCAACGCCGCGUGCGGGAUGAUGGCCUUCGGGUUGUAAACCGAUUUCGAAUGUGACGAAGAGUGAGUGACGGUAAUGGGUAAAGAAGCACCGGCUAACUACGUG
rnacentral:rRNA from 1 species